rnacentral:lncRNA from 1 species
CACUAUUUUGCUUAUCAAAGUCUCUUAAAGGAGGUGACUUACCUACGCUAUGGACCCAAUUACUCAGCCAAUAAGAGGACACGGUCCCUGCCCAUAGAAAGCUGAUGUCCAGCCUGACCUCAAUACAAAACCAUCCAGUUAAAGUGGUGGGGGUGGCUAUGCAGAGACGGGCGGGUGCCGGGAGAGUCAAGGGCAGCCCCUUGGCUGGCCAGGGGCUCAGACAGACCAGCUGGGGAGAUGCAUCACUCGCCCAGGAAAACUGAUGACAGCUUAGAUGGCACUGCAAGAGCAGGGAGGAUCACACUCAUGUCCAGAAAGUGAAACAUAAAACAGCUAAACAUGUACCACACAGCUUUCAUACAAAAAUUUUAUAUACACAAAUUUUGAAAAAAUAGAGAUGGGGUUUUGCUUGUUGUCCCGGCUGGUUUCGAACUCCUGAACUCAAGUGAUCUGCCUGCCUCAGCUUCCCAAAGUGAUGCAAUUACAGGCAUGUGCCACCAUGCCUGGUGACUUUUUUUCUGUUUUGAGACGGGGUCUCACUCUGUCUCCCAGGCUGGAGUUCAGUGGCAUGAUCAUAGCUCACUGCAGUCUCGACCUCCUAGGCUCAAGUGAUCCUCCCACCUCAGCCUCCUGAGUAGUGGGACCACAGGUGUGCACCACCGUGUCCAGCUAAUUUUUGUAGAGAUGGGGUCUCAUCAUGCUGCCCAGGCUGGUCUCAAACUCCAGGGCUCGAGUGAUCCGCCAUCCUUGGCCUCCCAAAGUGCUGGAUUACAGACCUGAGCCACCACACCAGGCUGCCCCACACAUUGUAAAGUUUCGCUUCCCUCUAAUGUCAGAUUCCAAAGACAGCAGCCUUCAUGAGUCAGAAAGAAACAUCGGUCAUUUUGAAAUCAACAUCCAACUGAAGUGUAGAAAGGCCUCUGGAUUUUUGAAACGGCAACAACAGAUGAUGUAAUACAAAGACGCCCCCACCCCACUGCUUUCCCACUGCAUGCUUUACAUGACAUGGCACAGCUUCCACGCCAGCAGCUUCAAUCAUGUAAAGCGAAUGCAGUCCCAUCAAGACCACAGCAUUGGCUGAGCAGCUACUCCAUGCUGGGCACCGUCCUGGGCACUGGAAGUACAGCAGAGAACGAAACCAAGACCACACCCUCCAGAAGCCUGCAUUCCAGCAGGACAGACAGACUUCCAUACACAGAGCAGGAAAAUGCACAGCGUGUCAGAUGAUGAUGAUUACUAUGAGAAAAAUAAAGCAGGCAAAGAGAACAGGACUAUUUGGAUGAGGGUGGUGCAAAUUCAAAUAAUCAGACAGCCUUUGCUGGGAAGGUGAUAUCUGAGCAAAGAUUCGAGAAGGUGGGGAGAGCCCCGGAGCCUUCCCCGCAGAGCAGAGGAGGCCCGGGAAGCUCUGGACUCAUAGCGGUUCAGCACGGCCACGACACGGCCACUUCCAGACAGAGCCCCUGGCUGCUGGGUAGGGACCGCAGCACCUCAGAGAACCCUUUCUGGGGUCACUUCUGGCACCCUCUGCAAACCUCAAGGGGGAGCGUGAGGCUGGGGGCUGUCCAUCAGGGUCCAGGCACCUCCUGAAGGAACCUCUCAAAGCCAGCCGAUCACCGGCUCCAGACCCACGCUGUCAGACAUCUCUGUGGCCACCAGACCACUGCCACUCUCACGGGUGUGAUGACAUGGGACCUGCCUACUGGUAGUCUUCUGCCUUCGUGGAAUUCUGCAACUUCCUUCCUGCCUCGGCCACAGCAUGUCAGCCAAGCACCUGUCAGGGUCCCUCCCUGGCAGGACGAUGUUUAGAAGCUCAACACCUUGCUCCUGCCUCCUCUUCAGACCCAUCAGAACUUGCUACCAUGGGUGUGUUUUAAUAAAUAACUUCAUUUCUGCAGCAAAUAAAUAAAUAAAUAAAUGUAGUUGCAAUAUUGCCUUUAAAAGCACUUUUAAGCAUCAAUUGUGAAAUAAAAAGCCCGAGCAAAAGCCCUCUUUGAGCGUGAA